rnacentral:rRNA from 1 species
CUACAGAGGGUGCAAGCGUUAAUCGGAAUUACUGGGCGUAAAGCGCGCGUAGGCGGUUUAAUCAGUCGGAUGUGAAAGCCCCGGGCUCAACCUGGAACUGCAUUCGAUACUGUUAAGCUAGAGUAUGGUAGAGGGAAGUGGAAUUCCAGGUGUAGCGGUGAAAUGCGUAGAUAUCUGGAGGAACAUCAGUGGCGAAGGCGACUUCCUGGACCAAUACUGACGCUGAGGUGCGAAAGCGUGGGGAGCAAACAGGAUUAGAUACCCUAGUAGUCC